rnacentral:tRNA from 1 species
UGUGUGUAAUUUAAAAAAAAUAUCAAGCUGUGACCCUGACAAUAGGAACCAAACCCUCACACACCUACGAGG